rnacentral:rRNA from 1 species
AUUGAACGCUAGCGGGAUGCCUUACACAUGCAAGUCGAACGGAGUGGCGAACGGGUGAGUAAAGUAUCGGAACGUGCCCAGUAGCGGGGGAUAACUACGCGAAAGCGUAGCUAAUACCGCAUACUAUUGGAGCGGCCGAUAUCGGAUUAGCGAGGUGGUGGCGUAACGGCUAACCAAGUCGACGAUCCGUAGCUGGUUUGCGAGGACGACCAGCCACACUGGGUCUGGAGGACGGCCCAGACUCCUACGUGAGGCAGCAGUAGGGAAUUUUUGACAAUGGGGGAAACCCUGAUCCAGCGAUCCCGCGUGUGCGAUGAAGUCCUUCGGGUUGUAGAGCACUAUUGGCAGGAGGGCGAUACCUGCAGGAUAAGCACCGGCUAAAUACGUGCCAGCAGCCGCGAUAAUAC